GUCCUGUUCCACCUUCUGAAGUGUCUGGGGUGUCGCUGUUGCCUGAAGGGAAUCUGGGAUCACUAUGGGAUGGAAAAGUAAACACGUUAAUCUAAUGAUAUCAACAUCAUAUGGAGUCUAGAGAACAUGCCAAAUGAGUAUCCCAAGGAGAAGCAGAUGUUUUUCACAUGGAGAACUGAUGGCGGCGGGACAUCCGAGGGAAAGGAUUUGACAGGAAGAAAGAAGCACAAAACGGUAGAGACAUCAAGCAAGACUUGGCUGAGAGGUAACAGAAAUCCAUGGGUGACUUUUAAAUCUGUCAGGCUACAUACUGAUGCUCCUGCCUUUAACAGCAGAACACCAAGGACUACAGAGAGAGUUGAUGAGCACCUAGCAAACGGGUCAGAAUAUAAAAGGAAAGGAACAAGAAAAAGGAACCACCGGGAUACUCUUCAGAGAUAAUGGCUUAGCAAGAAAUAUCCUUAAGGUUAAUAUGAUUUGGAUUCAAAAGGACCUACUUUAAGGGAUCAGUGAACUAAGCGGUCUGUCCUUGAGAUCUAGUUUACCUGCAUGGCAGAUAGGGUCCACAGGGUUUAGUCAAGAGGAUUGGAGUCCAAAUUCAGCCUCAGGCACUAGUUGUAUGAUCCUGGGCAAGUCACUUCAUUCCAAUUGCUUCAAAAAAAAAAAUCUACAUACAGCCCACAGGUACCAAGUAAUCAGCCUUGCCUCUAGCAUUCUAUCUUCUCCAUGCUCCUGGCUGCUAGUAUUAGAAAACUGAAGAAAUGGGUGAGAAGUGAAGAAAUCUGCAAAAUUACAAAACACGGUGUUAAGGCACAACCCAAAAAGAUCUCAGCUUUAUUAUUAAAAAUACAAUACACCACACGAUCAAAUAAAUCACUUAACUUCUGUUUGCCUCAGUUUCCACAAUUGUAAAAUGGGAAUUAUAGCUCAAACAGGAUAAUAU